rnacentral:rRNA from 1 species
GACGAACGCUGGCGGCGUGCUUAACACAUGCCAGUCGAACGGAAAGGCCCUGCUUUUGUGGGGUGCUCGAGUGGCGAACGGGUGAGUAACACGUGAGUAACCUGCCCUUGACUUUGGGAUAACUUCAGGAAACUGGGGCUAAUACCGGAUAGGAGCUCCUGCUGCAUGGUGGGGGUUGGAAAGUUUCGGCGGUUGGGGAUGGACUCGCGGCUUAUCAGCUUGUUGGUGGGGUAGUGGCUUACCAAGGCUUUGACGGGUAGCCGGCCUGAGAGGGUGACCGGCCACAUUGGGACUGAGAUACGGCCCAGACUCCUACGGGAGGCAGCAGGGGGGAAUAUUGCACAAUGGGCGGAAGCCUGAUGCAGCAACGCCGCGUGCGGGAUGACGGCCUUCGGGUUGUAAACCGCUUUCGCCUGUGACGAAGCGUGAGUGACGGUAAUGGGUGAAGAAGCACCGGCUAACUACGUG